rnacentral:rRNA from 1 species
CAAGGUUGACCUCGGAUCAGGUAGGGAUACCCGCUGAACUUAAGCAUAUCAAA